UACGUAGGGGGCUAGCGUUGUCCGGAAUCAUUGGGCGUAAAGAGCGUGUAGGCGGUCCGGUAAGUCCGCUGUGAAAGUCGGGGGCUCAACCCUCGAAUGCCGGUGGAUACUGUCGGGCUAGAGUGCGGAAGAGGCGAGUGGAAUUCCUGGUGUAGCGGUGAAAUGCGCAGAUAUCAAGAGGAACACCUGAGGUGAAGACGGGUUGCUGGGCUGACACUGACGCUGAGGCGCGAAAGCUAGGGUAGCAAACGGG
rnacentral:rRNA from 1 species